AUUUUUAUGAAAGAAAGCAAUUUCUUAAUGCUUUGUUUCUAUAACAACAGUGCAGAAAUUGAAAGCCUGAUUUUGCUUCUUUGGAAACAAAGAAAACAGAGUUAGGCAGCGGCCAGACAACCGUAGGGAUGGUAUCCACAGAUUAAGGGCAAUUCUAUCCCUUUUGUCUACUGAUUCCAUCUCACAUUU
rnacentral:snoRNA from 1 species